rnacentral:rRNA from 1 species
AUAAUCAUGGAGUAUAAUAAUUAAAUUUAAUAAAUUUAAUAUAACUAUUAAUAGAAUUAGGUUACUAAUAAAUUAAUAACAAUUAAUUUUAAAACCUAAAGGUAAACCUUUAUAUUAAUAAUGUUUUUUUUUAUUAUAUUUAUAAUAAGAAUAAUUAUUAAUAAUAAUAAACUAAGUGAACUGAAACAUCUAAGUAACUUAAGGAUAAGAAAUCAACAGAGAUAUUAUGAGUAUUGGUGAGAGAAAAUAAUAAAGGUCUAAUAAGUAUUAUGUGAAAAAAAUGUAAGAAAAUAGGAUAACAAAUUCUAAGACUAAAUACUAUUAAUAAGUAUAGUAAGUACCGUAAGGGAAAGUAUGAAAAUGAUUAUUUUAUAAGCAAUCAUGAAUAUAUUAUAUUAUAUUAAUGAUGUACCUUUUGUAUAAUGGGUCAGCAAGUAAUUAAUAUUAGUAAAACAAUAAGUUAUAAAUAAAUAGAAUAAUAUAUAUAUAUAUAAAAAUAUAUUAAAAUAUUUAAUUAAUAUUAAUUGACCCGAAAGCAAACGAUCUAACUAUGAUAAGAUGGAUAAACGAUCGAACAGGUUGAUGUUGCAAUAUCAUCUGAUUAAUUGUGGUUAGUAGUGAAAGACAAAUCUGGUUUGCAGAUAGCUGGUUUUCUAUGAAAUAUAUGUAAGUAUAGCCUUUAUAAAUAAUAAUUAUUAUAUAAUAUUAUAUUAAUAUUAUAUAAAGAAUGGUACAGCAAUUAAUAUAUAUUAGGGAACUAUUAAAGUUUUAUUAAUAAUAUUAAAUCUCGAAAUAUUUAAUUAUAUAUAAUAAAGAGUCAGAUUAUGUGCGAUAAGGUAAAUAAUCUAAAGGGAAACAGCCCAGAUUAAGAUAUAAAGUUCCUAAUAAAUAAUAAGUGAAAUAAAUAUUAAAAUAUUAUAAUAUAAUCAGUUAAUGGGUUUGACAAUAACCAUUUUUUAAUGAACAUGUAACAAUGCACUGAUUUAUAAUAAAUAAAAAAAAUAAUAUUUAAAAUCAAAUAUAUAUAUAUUUGUUAAUAGAUAAUAUACGGAUCUUAAUAAUAAGAAUUAUUUAAUUCCUAAUAUGGAAUAUUAUAUUUUUAUAAUAAAAAUAUAAAUACUGAAUAUCUAAAUAUUAUUAUUACUUUUUUUUUAAUAAUAAUAAUAUGGUAAUAGAACAUUUAAUGAUAAUAUAUAUUAGUUAUUAAUUAAUAUAUGUAUUAAUUAAAUAGAGAAUGCUGACAUGAGUAACGAAAAAAAGGUAUAAACCUUUUCACCUAAAACAUAAGGUUUAACUAUAAAAGUACGGCCCCUAAUUAAAUUAAUAAGAAUAUAAAUAUAUUUAAGAUGGGAUAAUCUAUAUUAAUAAAAAUUUAUCUUAAAAUAUAUAUAUUAUUAAUAAUUAUAUUAAUUAAUUAAUAAUAUAUAUAAUUAUAUUAUAUAUUAUAUUUUUAUAUAUAAUAUAUAUAAUAUAAACUAAUAAAGAUCAGGAAAUAAUUAAUGUAUACCGUAAUGUAGACCGACUCAGGUAUGUAAGUAGAGAAUAUGAAGGUGAAUUAGAUAAUUAAAGGGAAGGAACUCGGCAAAGAUAGCUCAUAAGUUAGUCAAUAAAGAGUAAUAAGAACAAAGUUGUACAACUGUUUACUAAAAACACCGCACUUUGCAGAAACGAUAAGUUUAAGUAUAAGGUGUGAACUCUGCUCCAUGCUUAAUAUAUAAAUAAAAUUAUUUAACGAUAAUUUUAUUAAAUUUAGGUAAAUAGCAGCCUUAUUAUGAGGGUUAUAAUGUAGCGAAAUUCCUUGGCCUAUAAUUGAGGUCCCGCAUGAAUGACGUAAUGAUACAACAACUGUCUCCCCUUUAAGCUAAGUGAAAUUGAAAUCGUAGUGAAGAUGCUAUGUACCUUCAGCAAGACGGAAAGACCCUAUGCAGCUUUACUGUAAUUAGAUAGAUCGAAUUAUUGUUUAUUAUAUUCAGCAUAUUAAGUAAUCCUAUUAUUAGGUAAUCGUUUAGAUAUUAAUGAGAUACUUAUUAUAAUAUAAUGAUAAUUCUAAUCUUAUAAAUAAUUAUUAUUAUUAUUAUUAAUAAUAAUAAUAUGCUUUCAAGCAUAGUGAUAAAACAUAUUUAUAUGAUAAUCACUUUACUUAAUAGAUAUAAUUCUUAAGUAAUAUAUAAUAUAUAUUAUAUAUAUAUUAUAUAUAAUAUAAGAGACAAUCUCUAAUUGGUAGUUUUGAUGGGGCGUCAUUAUCAGCAAAAGUAUCUGAAUAAGUCCAUAAAUAAAUAUAUAAAAUUAUUGAAUAAAAAAAUAAUAUAUAUUAUAUAUAUUAAUUAUAAAUUGAAAUAUGUUUAUAUAAAUUUAUAUUUAUUGAAUAUAUUUUAGUAAUAGAUAAAAAUAUGUACAGUAAAAUUGUAAGGAAAACAAUAAUAACUUUCUCCUCUCUCGGUGGGGGUUCACACCUAUUUUUAAUAGGUGUGAACCCCUCUUUGGGGUUCCGGUUCCCUUUCGGGUCCCGGAACUUAAAUAAAAAUGGAAAGAAUUAAAUUAAUAUAAUGGUAUAACUGUGCGAUAAUUGUAACACAAACGAGUGAAACAAGUACGUAAGUAUGGCAUAAUGAACAAAUAACACUGAUUGUAAAGGUUAUUGAUAACGAAUAAAAGUUACGCUAGGGAUAACAGGGUAAUAUAACGAAAGAGUAGAUAUUGUAAGUUAUGUUUGCCACCUCGAUGUCGACUCAACAUUUCCUCUUGGUUGUAAAAGCUAAGAAGGGUUUGACUGUUCGUCAAUUAAAAUGUUACGUGAGUUGGGUUAAAUACGAUGUGAAUCAGUAUGGUUCCUAUCUGCUGAAGGAAAUAUUAUCAAAUUAAAUCUCAUUAUUAGUACGCAAGGACCAUAAUGAAUCAACCCAUGGUGUAUCUAUUGAUAAUAAUAUAAUAUAUUUAAUAAAAAUAAUACUUUAUUAAUAUAUUAUCUAUAUUAGUUUAUAUUUUAAUUAUAUAUUAUCAUAGUAGAUAAGCUAAGUUGAUAAUAAAUAAAUAUUGAAUACAUAUUAAAUAUGAAGUUGUUUUAAUAAGAUAAUUAAUCUGAUAAUUUUAUACUAAAAUUAAUAAUUAUAGGUUUUAUAUAUUAUUUAUAAAUAAAUAUAAUAUAAUAAUAAUAAUUAUUAUUAUUAUUAAUAAUAAA